CCGGUUGAUCCUGCCAGAGGCUACUGCUAUCGGGGUCCGACUAAGCCAUGCGAGUUGAGAGGGUUUGGCCCUCGGCAUAUUGCUCAGUAACACGCGGAUAACCUGCCCUUGGGUUCGGGAUAACCCCGGGAAACUGGGACUAAUACCGGAUAGAUCAAAGAAACUGGAAUGUUCUCUGGCUAAAAACUCCGGUGCCCAAGGAUGGGUCUGCGGCCUAUCAGGUAGUAGUGGGUGUAACGUACCUACUAGCCUGCGACGGGUAAGGGUUGUGAGAGCAAGAGCCCUGAGAUGGAUUCUGAGACAUGAAUCCAGGCCCUACGGGGUGCAGCAGGCGCGAAAACUUUACACUGCGGGAAACCGCGAUAAGGGGACCCCGAGUGCCAGCACCUAGUGCUGGCUGUCCAGCUGUCCAAAUAACAGUUGUUAGCAAGGGCCGGGCAAGACCGGUGCCAGCCGCCGCGGUAACACCGGCGGCCCGAGUGGUAGCCGUUAUUAUUGGGUUUAAAGGGUCCGUAGCCGGCCUAUUAAGUCUCUUGGGAAAUCUGGCGACUCAAUCGUCAGUCGUCCAAGAGAUACUGGUAGGCUUGGGACCGGGAGAGGUGGGAGGUACUCCAGGGGUAGGGGUGAAAUCUCGUAAUCCUUGGGGGACCACCGAUGGCGAAGGCAUCCCACCAGAACGGGUCCGACGGUGAGGGACGAAAGCUGGGGGCACGAACCGGAUUAGAUACCCGGGUAGUCCCAGCCGUAAACGAUGCUCGCUAGGUGUCAGGUGCGGUGCGACCGCAUCUGGUGCCGCAGUGAAAACUUGAAGCGAGUCACCUGGGAAGUACGGUCGCAAGGCUGAAGCUUAAAGGAAUUGGCGGGGGAGCAC
rnacentral:rRNA from 1 species